rnacentral:lncRNA from 7 species
AGCAGGCCCGGUGGCGCCUAGAGGGCGGGGAUUGAGCGCAGUGUACCAUGGCAGAGAGUAGACCUGAUUGGGUUUUAAGGGCCCUUCCAACUCAAACCAUUCCAUGGCUCCUUGCUUCUAUGCAAAACCAGUUGGCUGCUGCAUCCACAUGCCCUGGCCACCCCAAGGAGGUGCCGUGGGGAUGAAAAGGCAUCCACAGAGCAUCUACAGAGCCUCCAUUUCCAGUUACAGAAUCAAGGGACCACAUUAUAACCAGGCUGAAGAAAGCAUGAAGGGUCAGCAGUGCCAAAAGCAAGAGGCGGGCAAGUAAUAGGCAGAGUGCCUGCCUGCCCCCACUUCCCCCUUGCCUCCUGUGGGACUGAAUUUCUGCUGCUGGGGACUUUGACAUGGACCACAGUUACCCUAUGGGCUUCCGGAGAUGGACCGUGGGGCACCAGGGACUCCACCUCCCGGGUCCAGAUCAAAGACUUUGACCCCACUGCUCAGCACAGGCUGCGUCUGCAAGCCCUGGAUACUCAGACCUUGGACUGCGUGGCUCCAAACAAGCUACGCUGCACCUGGGGCUCUGCUGAAGCCUCCAAAACCCACAGAGGCUGCCUGGAGAACUCUGCAGGUAGGUCAGUGGAAGGUUGUGUUUCUGUUAUAUAUUGACCGUGAGCUGCAGGCUCACGGGGCAGAUGGAUGCCUCCUCAGCUUGUCCUCAGGGCUGCAUUUGGCAGAGGUAGCCCUGAUUUCUGCUGGCUCUGACCUGUGAGUGGCAGCAGAUGGGAAGCAGCAUGGCCCUUUCCUGCUGCCCAUCGUCUCUGUGACUCAUCCUGCAGCCCAAGCAGACGUCAGUCCUGCUGUGAGCUGAGCAGUGCCACAGGGGUGCUGUGCUUCACCUUAUUCAAAUAAAACUGGUGUAGAAU